GUGCCAGCCGCCGUGGUACUACGAAGGGUGCAAGCGUUAAUCGGAAUUACUGGGCGUAAAGCGCGCGUAGGUGGUUUGUUAAGUUGAAUGUGAAAGCCCCGGGCUCAACCUGGGAACUGCAUCCAAAACUGGCAAGCUAGAGUAUGGCAGAGGGUGGUGGAAUUUCCUGUGUAGCGGUGAAAUGCGUAGAUAUAGGAAGGAACACCAGUGGCGAAGGCGACCACCUGGGCUAAUACUGACACUGAGGUGCGAAAGCGUGGGGAGCAAACAGGAUUAGAAACCCGUGUACC
rnacentral:rRNA from 1 species